rnacentral:lncRNA from 1 species
UUCAUCUAAGCAAUUUGCUUCCCUCUUCUAGGAUCUUGUGCCAUCAUUGGUAACAUAGAGCAUUUCCCCCUUGUCUAAUGUCACACUCUGUCACUAGGGAGCUCUAUGGUAAUAAUAACAAGGUCUACAAUCAAGCAGACCCGAGUUUGAAUCCUGGCUCCGUCCCCAAGCAGUGGGCUGUUGGGCAAGUCAUAUAUACAACAGAGAUAAUAAUACUACCUCAGGGUCUCUGCCCUUAUUGUUCAUUCUCCUUGGAACAGUUCCCAGUCAUCCACAAGGUCACCCUUAUAUCUCCUUCUAGUCUUACUCAAGUUACCCAUUACCUAGGCCUGCCUCAAACAGUCUCUAACCUUGCAAAUGACACUCACCAUUUCCUACUUCCUUUCCUCAUGCUAUUAUUUUCCUUAACACUCAACACCUAACAUUCUAUACAGAGCACUCCAUUCUCUUAUUUAUUGCCUGUUCCCAUCUUCUUACCUCUAGAAUGUAAGCUCUAUAUGGGCAGGAUUUUUUUUUUUGUAUUUCUUUACUGCUGUAUCCCCAGUUUCUAGAGUGAAUUAGGUGCUUAAUAAAAUAUUUCUUGCAUAAAUGAA